CAAUAGCGUAUAUUAAAGUUGUUGCAGUUAAAAAGCUCGUAGUUGGAUUUCGGGGCAGCCUGGCUGGUCCGCCGCAAGGCGAGUACUGGUCAGCCGCCCUUCCUCUCGAAAGCCCCGACUGCUCUUCGCUGCAGUGGUCGGGUAGUUCGGGACGUUUACUUUGAAAAAAUUAGAGUGUUCAAGGCAGGCCUACGCCUGAAUACAUUAGCAUGGAAUAAUGGAAGAGGACCUCGGUCCUAUUUUGUUGGUUUCCAGGGCCGAAGUAAUGAUUAAGAGGGACAGUUGGGGGCAUUCGUAUUUAAUUGUCAGAGGUGAAAUUCUCGGAUUUAUGAAAGACGAACAACUGCGAAAGCAUUUGCCAAGGAUGUUUUCAUUAA
rnacentral:rRNA from 1 species